UAGGGAAUCUUCCGCAAUGGGCGAAAGCCUGACGGAGCAAUGCCGCGUGAGUGAUGAAGGUUUUCGGAUCGUAAAGCUCUGUUGCCAGGGAAGAACGCUUGGGAGAGUAACUGCUCUCAAGGUGACGGUACCUGAGAAGAAAGCCCCGGCUAACUACGUGCCAGCAGCCGCGGUAAUACGUAGGGGGCAAGCGUUGUCCGGAAUUAUUGGGCGUAAAGCGCGCGCAGGCGGUCAUGUAAGUCUGGUGUUUAAUCCCGGGGCUCAACCCCGGAUCGCACUGGAAACUGCGUGACUUGAGUGCAGAAGAGGAGAGUGGAAUUCCACGUGUAGCGGUGAAAUGCGUAGAGAUGUGGAGGAACACCAGUGGCGAAGGCGACUCUCUGGGCUGUAACUGACGCUGAGGCGCGAAAGCGUGGGGAGCAAACA
rnacentral:rRNA from 1 species